rnacentral:rRNA from 1 species
AUACAGAGGGUGCAAGCGUUAAUCGGAUUUACUGGGCGUAAAGCGCGCGUAGGCGGCUAAUUAAGUCAAAUGUGAAAUCCCCGAGCUUAACUUGGGAAUUGCAUUCGAUACUGGUUAGCUAGAGUGUGGGAGAGGAUGGUAGAAUUCCAGGUGUAGCGGUGAAAUGCGUAGAGAUCUGGAGGAAUACCGAUGGCGAAGGCAGCCAUCUGGCCUAACACUGACGCUGAGGUGCGAAAGCGUGGGUAGCAAACAGGAUUAGAAACCCGGGUAGUCC